rnacentral:rRNA from 1 species
UACGAAGGGUGCAAGCGUUACUCGGAAUUACUGGGCGUAAAGGGUGCGUAGGUGGUUGUUUAAGUCUGUUGUGAAAGCCCCGGGCUCAACCUGGGAAUGGCAAUGGAUACUGGACAGCUAGAGUGCGGUAGAUGGUAGUGGAAUUCCCGGUGUAGCAGUGAAAUGCGUAGAGAUCGGGAGGAACACCAGUGGCGAAGGCGGCUACCUGGACCAGCACUGACACUGAAGCACGAAAGCGUGGGGAGCAAACAGG